AAUCAACGCUGGCGGCGUGCCUCAGACAUGCAAGUCGAACGCGAAAGUUUCCUUCGGGAGACAAGUAGAGUGGCGCACGGGUGAGUAACACGUAGGUAAUCUACCUUUGGAUGGGGAAUAACAACCGGAAACGGUUGCUAAUACCGCAUAAUGCAGCGGCACCUAAUGGUGACAGUUGUUAAAGCGGGGGAUCGAAGACCUCGCGUCUGAAGAGGAGCCUGCGGCGGAUUAGCUAGUUGGUAAGGUAAUGGCUUACCAAGGCUACGAUCCGUAACCGGCCUGAGAGGGCGGUCGGUCACACUGACACUGACAUACGGGUCAGACUCCUACGGGAGGCAGCAGUCGGGAAUUUUGGGCAAUGGGCGAAAGCCUGACCCA
rnacentral:rRNA from 1 species